GGGGCGUUAGCCAAGCCCGGACGAAGGCACGCGGUUCUCAGCCGCGCACGCGCGGGUUCUCGAUCCCGCACGCCCUGCCA
rnacentral:tRNA from 1 species